rnacentral:rRNA from 1 species
GAUGAACGCUGGCGGCGUGCCUAAUACAUGCAAGUCGAGCGAACAGAUGAGGAGCUUGCUCCUCUGACCUUAGCGGCGGACGGGUGAGUAACACGUGGAUAACCUACCUAUAAGACUGGGAUAACUUCGGGAAACCGGAGCUAAUACCGGAUAAUAUAUUGAACCGCAUGGUUCAAUAGUGAAAGACGGUUUUGCUGUCACUUAUAGAUGGAUCCGCGCCGCAUUAGCUAGUUGGUAAGGUAACGGCUUACCAAGGCAACGAUGCGUAGCCGACCUGAGAGGGUGAUCGGCCACACUGGAACUGAGACACGGUCCAGACUCCUACGGGAGGCAGCAGUAGGGAAUCUUCCGCAAUGGGCGAAAGCCUGACGGAGCAACGCCGCGUGAGUGAUGAAGGUCUUCGGAUCGUAAAACUCUGUUAUUAGGGAAGAACAAAUGUGUAAGUAACUAUGCACGUCUUGACGGUACCUAAUCAGAAAGCCACGGCUAACUACGUG